GUAGCUUGCUACGGGGAUAAUUAGUGGCAGACGGGUGAGUAAUGCAUAGGAAUCUACCUAGUAGUAUAGGAUAGCCACUAGAAAUGGUGGGUAAUACUGUAUAAUCCCUGCGGGGGAAAGAUUUAUCGCUACAUGAUGAGCCUAUGUUAGAUUAGCUAGUUGGUAGGGUAAAGGCCUACCAAGGCGAUGAUCUAUAGCUGGUCUGAGAGGAUGAUCAGCCACACUGGAACUGAGAUACGGUCCAGACUCCUACGGGAGGCAGCAGUGGGGAAUAUUGGACAAUGGGCGCAAGCCUGAUCCAGCUAUGCCGCGUGAGUGAGGAAGGCCUUAGGGUUGUAAAACUCUUUCAGUGGGGAAGAUAAUGACGGUACCCAC
rnacentral:rRNA from 1 species